AAUAUUUUCACUAUAUAAACGUUAUUAUUAAAUGCGUACAUAUUUUAUGAAACGUCUUAAACAUGUAUAAAAACUCCAAUAGUAACUUUAUUAUUUUUAUGAUAAUCGUAUGGGUUCAGGAUUUUGCACUCUAGAAUGUUACUUUGGCAGACCACUAGCUUAUAUUAUGUGUAAUGUAAAUCAAAUGUAUGAAGGAAAACUUUAUGGAGGACGUGGUUUUUCUUGUUUUUGCUGUUGGGAUAAAGGG